AGUGAACGCUGGCGGUAGGCCUAACACAUGCAAGUCGAACGGCAGCACAGUAAGAGCUUGCUCUUACGGGUGGCGAGUGGCGGACGGGUGAGGAAUACAUCGGAAUCUACUUUUUCGUGGGGGAUAACGUAGGGAAACUUACGCUAAUACCGCAUACGACCUACGGGUGAAAGCAGGGGAUCUUCGGACCUUGCGCGAUUGAAUGAGCCGAUGUCGGAUUAGCUAGUUGGCGGGGUAAAGGCCCACCAAGGCGACGAUCCGUAGCUGGUCUGAGAGGAUGAUCAGCCACACUGGAACUGAGACACGGUCCAGACUCCUACGGGAGGCAGCAGUGGGGAAUAUUGGACAAAGGGCGCAAGCCUGAUCCAGCCAUACCGCGUGGGUGAAGAAGGCCUUCGGGUUGUAAAGCCCUUUUGUUGGGAAAGAAAAGCAGCAGGUUAAUACCCCGCUGUUCUGACGGUACCCAAAGAAUAGGCACCGGCUAACUUCGUG
rnacentral:rRNA from 1 species